UAAAAGUUUGGGGCCUCUUUAAGACCUUAUGGGCCUACACAAGAACAACAAGUGCCCCUACAAUAGCAAAAAAAUUCCAUGGAAGCUCCUAAGAAACUAUUACACAAUAGCCCCACAGAUGGGUGAAAAAGAAAAUCGAAAAAUCCUAAGAAAAACUAAUAUCUUCUGAAAUCGCCAAAACGACCCCAAAAAUGGGCAGAAAUGCAUAUAUGCAUAAUGCCAGCCACCCUUCGCGAUGGAUUAUCACGGCGCCAUCCGAAUACAUGCUCAUCUCCUGUAUCUCACAAAUGCCAAUCAACCUCUACGGAAAACGAGGAACCUCCGCUCGAUCGACGAAGAACAUUUGUUUAUGCACCGGGGAAGGAAUAUCAUGUACUCUGAUAAAAUCCUUUCUGUCAACAUAUCCACCGCAAUAUUUUGCUCCCGGUAUAUAUAUGAACGCUACCAAUACCCGAAAAACUUUGAUGAAUCACAAGCUAACCAAUACAUUUUUCUAGAGCCAUUGCUAUCCCAUAAGAAAGCACAAAAAAAUUUAUUCUAUCCGUUUUAAAACUCGAUUUAGCAAGAACCACAACACAAGACAACGUAUGUAUGGGGAUACCGAAUAAAAUAGCUUUAAUGAGCGUGAUCUUUGCACCUAAUGAUAAAAAUUUAGACUUCCGAUCCACC
rnacentral:lncRNA from 1 species